rnacentral:rRNA from 1 species
GCGUUAAUCGGAUUUACUGGGCGUAAAGCGUGUGUAGGUGGUUGUACAAGUCGGUUGUGAAAUCCCCGGGCUCAACCUGGGAACUGCUUCCGAGACUGCACGACUAGAGAUCGGUAGAGGGCGGUGGAGUUUCCGGUGUAGCGGUGAAAUGCGUAGAUAUCGGAAGGAACACCAAUGGCGAAGGCAGCCGCCUGGGCCUGAUCUGACACUGAGACACGAAAGCGUG